UACGAAGGUGGCAAGCGCUGUUCGGAUUUACUGGGCGUACAGGGAGCGUAGGCGGUUGGAUAAGCCCUCCGUGAAAUCUCCAGGCUUAACCUGGAAAGUGCAGAGGGGACUGUUCAGCUAGAGGAUGGGAGAGGAGAGCGGAAUUCCCGGUGUAGCGGUGAAAUGCGUAGAUAUCGGAAGGAACAUCAGUGGCGAAAGCGGCUUCCUGGACCAGCACCGACGUUCAGGCACGAAAGCGUGGGGAGCAAACAGG
rnacentral:rRNA from 1 species